rnacentral:rRNA from 1 species
CCUACGGGAGGCAGCAGUGGGGAAUAUUGCACAAUGGGGGAAACCCUGAUGCAGCGACGCCGCGUGAAGGAAGAAGUAUUUCGGUAUGUAAACUUCUAUCAGCAGGGAAGAAAAUGACGGUACCUGACUAAGAAGCCCCGUCUAACUACAUGCCAGCAGCCGCGGUAAUACGUAGGGGGCAAGCGUUAUCCGGAUUUACUGGGUGUAAAGGGAGCGUAGGCGGUUUAGCAAGUCAGAAGUGAAAGCCCGGGGCUCAACUCCGGGACUGCUUUUGAAACUGUUGAACUAGAGUGCAGGAGAGGCAAGGGGAAUGCCUAGUGUAGCGGUGAAAUGCGUAGAUAUUAGGAGGAACACCAGUGGCGAAGGCGGCUUACUGGACUGUAAAUGACGCUGAGGCUCGAAAGCGUGGGGAGCAAACAGGACUAGAUACCCGUGUAGUC